GCUUAGGUAUGAAAUAAUAGACUCAAAAGG
rnacentral:piRNA from 1 species